GAUCAUUAAAAUAUUGUUCAUUAUUUUUGUUUUCUCAUUUUUUGAUGAAAUCUAGAGGUUACUUGAAGUUGAGUGACUUCCUCAGGGUCAAGCAAAUGAGUAAAUGGAAGAGUAAGAAUUUUAUCCCAAGUACCUCUGGCUUCAAGCCCUAUACUUUUCACGUAAUUCCAAACAAGCAAGCAAACCGAACAGAAACACUCCCACCUCCAUAUCCUGUUUCUAACACUGGUUCGGGAAGCCAGAUGUUAACACUUACUGGGAAGUCUUUUGGCCUUUUAAUUUAGUUACUGUAUCAUUUGUGUCCUUGUCUUUUAAUCUUAUAGUCAUUAAUUCAGUACUUUUUUUUGAUAACUCUCUUUUACACCAAAAAUGAAAUUCCAAAGACUUUAGCAUCUGGUACUAAGGUAAAAAUAAGUAAUGUCAAAGUUUGUUGGGGUUCUGGGAGACCCUAACAAGGAUACUGGUGAAGGAUUGUUAAGCUUUAAGUACAAAGUCAAUAAUAAAUUCCUGAAAAAUAUAGGGUGCUCUUAUUUCUUGAUAUUUGGGACAUUUAAACAAGUAUUUAACAAUCUGAUUCUAACGCUAAUUAAAUAUACAUAUAAUGGACCACCCUAAGAAAUACAUUAAUAAGUUACUCAUGUGGGAAACUGCAUACCUCUGUGGCAACUAAUGUUUGAACCAUAUUUAAAAUGCAUAAAUAUUGCUAUAAAACAAAACUGGGCAAGGAGAACCGUAUGAGAAGGAGUAUAAUAUUUAAUGAUAAAUAUGCAUAUUAUUGUAGCAUUUUAAAGAUACUUUUUAUAAUCGAGAGAGCUUAAGAUUUCAACUGAAAUGCUAUUAUUUCUCACAACCCUGGAAGACUGCUUUUUAGAUUCUCAAUUCGCUAUUGCGGACAUGAGGUCUCAUGCUAUUGAUAUUGGAACCGGGCUUUUGUUCCAAGUUCCUUGCUCUAUUGUGAGUUUCUCCCUGACCAUCGCAGAAUGUUUGUUUCAUUAAGAAAAUUAUAAUCAAGUGAAGAUUUUAGGGGGCAGAGCACUAGUAUGGAAUCCAGAAUUCUUCCCUUCUCAACUCUGCCAACCCUUGUAGCAGCCCCGUCCAACUGUGGAGGCUGGCUUCUGCAGAUCUUUGAACGCAGCUGGAGUCUCGGGUAGUUUGGUCUUUGGGGGCUGAUAUACCUAAAAUAACUUUGAAUAGUUAAAUCUGACCACGUGUGAAAUGGCAGUUGCCUUUUAAUUUUAAUGGAAUAUUUUAGAGCAUUUUUAUGGAAAAGCUCUUAAAAUUCUUUUUUUCACCUCCUUAAUGAAAGGGGAAAAUGUGUUGCUGUUACUAUUAUUUUUUAUAAUAAAUUUAAAGCAGUUCCUGCAAAUCUUAACAAGUAGAAUCAUAUAUUUAAUGCUUUUGGCAAAAUGCCUUUAUAAAAUUUCCAGAACAAAAUAAAAUAUUCUGAAUUUAAAAUUCUUUGACUAAAACAGACUGAAUUGCUAAGGGUACUUACAUCAUGUAUUAAUAUUUCCAAGUUAAUUUAGUGUGUGGAAUCAUCAAACCAAUCAUUACCACCAUAGUUACUGUUGUAUCUGAAAAGAUUUGUGCUCAGGUUUUUAAACCAGAAUAGAAAGCUAGAUUCACAAAUAUGAAUAUUCCCGAUAGAAACACACGUGUUUUGUUGUGUUUUUUUACACCAUAAUUCUUUUACAUAUGCAAAUCAUGAUAUCUUCUGAAAUAAGUUAUAAGCUCUUGAGAUAAGCUGCCCUGUAAAGGAUAAUGUGGGCACUCUAACGCCAGGACUUCGCGAAGGCUGCUUCUUUUGGACUGGAGGUGGUGAUGUGCUGGUAAAGUUUUUCAAAAGGCUCUCCAGGAAAAACAAAAGCCAAUAACCACCUUGAUUUGCUGAUUCCCAUAGUGUAAAUAUGAAAUAUGGGGUUAAGAAGAUAUGCAUAAACCACUUCUUACCAGUUGAUGCCAGCCUGCUCCAGCAGACCGCUGAAGAGGGGUUCUUUUAUGUUUGCUAAACAUGCGGUAUGGAAGCCAUGACUUAUAGCCUAAGUUUAAUGGGAAAAAUUGAUUUAACUGGGGAAGAUGGGCUAGCACAGUUAUUUGGGCCUGUACCACCUGGGAAAGUUUUGACAGGAUUUAGCCGUGUUAGCAGAUGCAGCAUUCUGAGUAAAAGCCUAGUUAUAAAUUUUAGUAGCUAUUGGAUAAGUGGCUUCACAAAAUGAAUGGAAAUAGUGAAGUGAUCACUUUUUAUUUAUUUGUUAUUCAUAAAGAAUCUUUGACUCUUCUGCUCUGAAUGAGCUUUGAGCUGAUUGAUCUCUCAAAACAAUCAUCAUUUGUAUGAUAAGAUGCUAAUAUGGUUCUGGGAAAGAUGUCUUCUAGGAAAAUAUUUUAUUAAAAUAAUUGUAGCUAACAUUUAUUGUAGUCUCUAUUCUAAGAGUUUCUCUUGUAUUGUCUUAUUGAAUCCUCCCAACAGCCUUCUUAUUAUCCCUCUCAUUUUGCAGAUGAGAAAACUGAAGAACAAAGAGUUUAAGUAACUUGUCCACUUGCCACGCCUAGUAAUUGGGAUUGACCUAGACAGUGUGACUCAAGAGUUUGUCCUCUUAAUCAAUGCACUCCUAUGCCUCAAGUUACACUCUUCUGCCUGAUAUCCAGAUAGGACCUGUGUUGGAGCCUUAUCAGUAUGGACCCAGGGUGAGUCACACUUGCAGGGACUGCCAAUGAUAGAAUUCUGUAUGCUAGGUUUUCCCACCUCCAAAAAGUCCACAUGAUUCGACAUUGACAUAAACAAUUACUGGUAUUUUGGUUUGCAUCAAAUUAGUUACUUUGUCAUCACUCAAAUUUGGAGAUUGAAGACAUGGUCCCUGCUUAUAUGUUUAGCUUAAGUAAAGUGUG
ensembl:lncRNA